GCUGGGCAUGGUGGCUCACACCUGUAAUCCCAGCAUUUUGGGAGGCUGAGGUGGGUGAAUCACUUGAGAUCAGGAGUUUGAGAGCAGCCUGGCCAACAUGGUGAAAUCACAUCUCUACUAAAAAUACACACACAAAAAUUAGCUGGGCUUGGUGGCAGGUGCAUGCAAUCCCAGCUACUCUGGAGGCUGAGUCAGGAGAAUCGCUUGAACCCAGGAAAUGGAGGUUGUAGUGAGCCAAGAUGGUGCCACUGCACUCCAGCCUGGGCAACAGAGUGAGAGUCCAUCUCA
rnacentral:sRNA from 1 species